rnacentral:rRNA from 1 species
CCUACGGGUGGCAGCAGUGAGGAAUAUUGGUCAAUGGACGAGAGUCUGAACCAGCCAAGUAGCGUGAAGGAUGACUGCCCUCUGGGUUGUAAACUUCUUUUAUAUAGAAAUAAAACAGGGUAUGCAUACCCUCUUGUAUGUACCAUAUGAAUAAGGAUCGGCUAACUCCGUGCAAGCAGCCGCGGUAAUACGGAGGAUCCGAGUGUUAUCCUGAUUUAUUGGGUUUAACGGGUGCGUAGUUGGAUGUUUAAGUCAGUUGUGAAAGUUUGCGGCUCAACCGUAAAAUUGCAGUUGAUACUGGCAGUCUUGAGUACAGUAGAGGUGUGCGGAAUUCGUGGUGUAGCGGUGAAAUGCUGAGAUAUCACGAAGAACUCCGAGUGCGAAGGCAGCUCACUGGACUGCAACUGACACUGAUGCUCGAAAGUGUGGGUAUCAAACAGGAUUAGAUACCCGGGUAGUC